GUCCUAUUGUGUUAUUUAAUAGGUCUGGCCUGCCCAGUGAUAAUUUCAACGGCCGCGGUAUAUUGACCGUGCAAAGGUAGCAUAAUCAUUAGUCUUUUAAUAGGAGGCUGGAAUGAAAGGUUUAACGAGAAAUUAACUGUCUCAAUUACAAUUUUGAAUUUAUCUUUUAAGUCAAAAGACUUAAAUAUAAUUGGAGGACGAGAAGACCCUAUAGAGCUUUACAAUUACUUUUUUUAUAAUUAUUUAGCUUGAAAUUAUUUGUUUAUACUAAAAGAAUUGUUUUGUUGGGGUGACAAUAAAUAUAAAUUUAACUUUUAUCAUAAUAUUUACAUUAAUUUAUGAUUUUUGGAUCCAAAAAUUUUGAUCAUUAGACUAAGUUACC
rnacentral:rRNA from 1 species